GAAGUCCUACACCAUGAAUAGUGCGCACAGGAAGAGCUGAGCGUGGCGAAACCCUGGUGUUGCAAAAGUUUCUUUCUGAUUACUUAAUUUUAAGUUCCCUGUUAGUCCCCACAUGUCUUCCUGAUGAACGUGGACCAUUUUAUGUCCAAUGGCACUUUAAAGAAGAACCCAGGACCAGGUUGGGGCUCCUACAAAUGAGCUUUGACUGACCGCCCUCUUAGUGUGCACUGGAGUCGCUGAGCACAUACAUCGCAGCAUGUUCAGUGCUGACUCACCUGAUCACAGAUAUGCAGAUCGGUGAUUGAGUGGACAAUGCGCGAUGGUGCGAGAUGCGUCCUGCGGUGGCGCUCCUGGAAGAGGUACUCAAACCUUUCCCAGUUGGCGCUGCGGGGCAGGGUAAAGUCGUAAUUGCACAUGUGAUACUCGGUGAGGGGCCUGCGGCAGGUGUGGUGGGGGAUGUCCCAGGGCAGGGGAAACUCAGCAGAGCUGCCACAGCUUUGAUGGCCUGGGCGUGGCUCGGGGCUCCACGUCUGGACCACAGGUGCAACGUCGUUCCCGGUGACCCGCUGCUGGGCGUCUUCGCCUGGCUUCUGCUCUUGGUUUUUUGCCGGACCUGUGCGUGAUGUGACGAGGCUGUCGUUCUUCAAUAAGAAGUCCGGGACGUGAGCUGGGGAGGUCAAAAUUGAAACUGAAUUACUUUAAUCAAUCAAGCUAAUGGUGUUUGAUAUGGCACUUUGCAAUGUCACUGGGUACUUAACCAGCCCAAAUGUUACAGGCAUGGCAGUGGUGUGGAUUUAAUCAUUGUUAUUUAAACAUUUGGAUUGAAACACUAAUUUGUUUUUUCUUCACAAAGACACUUAGGCAAGUUCAUAUAUCACCCAAAUGAACUCAACUGCUUUGUGAAUAUAAAAGGAAAAUGUAUUUGUAAUUCAAAUGUUAACUGAAUCCAGUCCAUUGUAUUGUUGUUCAAAGACACAACUAGGUAACACUUAAACAUUAUUACAUGUGUAUUUACAUGGGCAUACAUUCAAUACUUUUAAUUUGUGUGAAUAAAUUUAGAUAAUUGAAUGUGUGUAUUCUCAACUUUAUUUUGGGUGAAAAUCGUUUGCUGUUUAAACAAGAAUAUACUGUGUUUUCAAAUUUCCCAAGAAGUUUGGCAUUACAUUUGGGAAUAAAUCAUUCUUCUAAAGAAGUCUACUAAAGCUUAAUAAUAAAUAUAGCCUAGUUAUAUUGUAUAGUGCCUUUUUAAAAUGAUCCAUUUACACAUUUAAAGUUGUAUGUACAUUGUUUUGUGUUUUCAACACCUUUAAUUAAUUUGCUGGUUUAAGUACUUAUAUUUGUCACAUUGACUUUUGGAACAUGGGGUCCAUCAUGUGUUUCUCCUAGGCCAUCCCAGGGCAUACCACUCAUCUCAGAUGUGCCCUGUCCCACCUCUGGACUGUUCUUCCCCCCCCCAUGAGCUUCUGUGUUCUCUUUAGUGUUCCCAUGGAACCCCCUGUCCCUGUGUCAGUGUCCGCAAUCUGGGGAAGCGUUCAGUUAGACUGUCAAUAUGGUGACAGAGGAGAUUCAGGAGGCAAUGGUACCUGCAUCACACAAUCACACACCUGACCACCAGCUCACAUACUGCAUGGCCUUGUGUUCCAUCAGCCACAAUCUGUCUUUGUGACUGGUGCAGCAGGCCAUUUGGUGCUGACAUUUUACCAUGUGGUGCAGGUGUGUCUCUUUACACCCAUUUCCCGCAACACGCAGAAGCACCAAAGGCCUUUUCAUUGAAAAAAGAUAUGAAAAGCCUACGCAAAACGUCUGUCUGUUUUGAUUUGUCAAUCAAGAAACUGGUAAUACAAAAAAUCACUGAAAAGGCCUGACAAUUAUUUAGGAAACUUAAGUUGUGGGCUACACUGAAGCAGAAGCUACAUAAACACCAGCACAAUCACCAACAUGGUAUCAUUGCCAUAGCAACAAAUGCAGACAGAAAUCAUAAACAGCUAUUUUUAGUGGUUAUCCAUUUUAGCGGUUAGCGGACAGGUCAAGGUUCUGUCCAUCCCAUCAAUUUGGGAAUUUAUCUACUGUAAUCCUUCUGACUCAUAGGUUACAGGCUUUUUCUUCCCCUAACCCCCACCAAAUAACCCCCUCAUGUGUGUAAGGGAUUACUGAGGCAAAACAUUACCAUCUGUACUGCAUAACAGGACAAUUAUCAUUUAUGUGAAGAGAUUUAUCUUUGCUGGAAAAAGGUGUUUCGCUCAUUACUAGUCUACACAGGAAAAUGUCCAGUGUUUAUUUCAACUCCUAACAGAUAACUUUUGGUCCAACAUUCCAGAGCGGACAUUUUACUGUGCGUGUUUCAUCUCUUAGUAUGCAUGUAACAAUUAUCUCAAAACUAUGAUUUUUAUACCAAGUACCAGAACGUAGUGAAGGUGAUUUUUUAAUGACAUUUUUGUUAGAGACUUACACAAUCUUUGUAGUGGUGUUUUGUCUUACAGCAGAUGGUCUCAUUAUGUACACUGAAUGAACUACUGUGCAGAAGUAGUUUAUAAAAUUAUUGUCCAGAGGUAGAAAGUAUCACUGAGAUGAUUAUGGAGAUGAAUUAUUACCACUGAGGUACCCUUAUCUCUUUACAUUUUCCUAUGUACUACAGGAAAUUCUAAUUCAUGUAUUUAACUAAAUAUUCUGCUCCAUGAGUGGCACAUUCGAGUUAAUUAAUUUUUUGGGCUCUUGUUUGUAUAUGCCAGGUUUUACAUGUGAUUUUUACCUGAAUUUGAAGUUUAUUUUCCCUUCUCUCAGAGCUGAGCUGGGACACUCUGUCUCCCCCUCCACCUGAAACUCGGACUGUAUGAGAUCUGUGCCCAUCGCUAAAAAGUCGAAAUCAACAGGUUGGAAUUGUGCUCAUUUCUGCUCUGUUAAUUCUGUUAUUUAAUCUUCAUCUGACAGCCAGGAAACAUCUCCCUCAGUUUAGCACAAAUAUUUUUCCUGAAAGUGCUGAAGCAUGUAGCGCAUAAAAAUUUGUCCUCGUUUGCAACACUCACUACAGAGUUACACACUACCUCUGGAAACAACGUCAGCACAAGAACUGUUGUUCAUCGAGAGCUUCAAGAAAUGAGAAGCCAUACACAAGCCUAAGAUCACCAUGCGCAAUGCCAAGUGCCAGGUGGAAUGGUGUAAAGCACACCACCAUUGGACUCUGGAGCAGUACAAAACACGUUCUCUGGAGUGAUGUAUCACGCUUCACUAUCUGGCAGUCUGACGGAUGAAUCGGGGUUUGGCGAAAUGCUUAGUGCCCUUAGUUCCAGUGAACUUUGUGGCAACAGUUUGGGGGAAGGCCGUUUCCUGUUUCAGCAUGGCAAUGCCCCAUUGCACAAAGCAAGGUCACUAAAGAAAUGGUUAGCUGGGUUUGGUGGUGAAGAACUUGACUGGCCUGCACAGAGCCCUGAUCUACCACAUCAAACACUUUUGGGAUAAAUUGGAAUGGCCUCUGCGAGCCAGGCCUUAUACCCAGCAUCAGUCCCCAACCUCGCUAAUGCUCAUGCGACUGAAUCCACAAAUCUUGCAAAUCCCCGCAGCCAUGUUUCAAAAUCUACUGGAAAGCCUUCCCAGAAGAGUGGAGGCUGUUACAACAGCAAAGGUGUAUCCGACUCCAUAUCAAUGCCCAUGGUUUUGGAAUGAGAUGUUCAACAAGUACACACGGGUGUGAUGUUUAGGUGCCCACAUACCUUCGAAAAUAUGCUGUACAUAAAUAAAUUAAUAUGCAAUGUGUCAU